GGCUUCCUGGCGCAAUGGUUAGCGUGUUUGGCUUCGAUCGCUUAACAGCUCCUAGACACCAAGAGGUUGUCGGUUCAAGUCCGGCGGAAGUCU
rfam:Plicaturopsis crispa FD-325 SS-3 unplaced genomic scaffold PLICRscaffold_1, whole genome shotgun sequence.